GGCGUGGAUAAGACAUGCAAGUCGAACGCUGAUUUCAGGGUAGCAAUAUCCUGGAGUCGGAGUGGCGCAAGGGUGCGUAACACGUGGGUAAUUUGCCGUGAAGUUGGGGAUAACUCGCUGAAAGGCGAGCUAAUACCGAAUGUGAAAAUUGGAAGGCAUCUUUUGAUUUUCAAAGUUGGGGACCGCAAGGCCUGACGCUUCACGAUAAGCCCGCGGCCUAUCAGCUAGUUGGUGAGGUAACGGCUCACCAAGGCUAAGACGGGUAGCUGGUCUGAGAGGACGACCAGUCACACUGGAACUGAGACACGGUCCAGACACCUACGGGUGGCAGCAGUCGAGAAUUUUUCUCAAUGGGCGAAAGCCUGAAGGAGCGACGCCGCGUGGGGGAUGAAGGGCUUCGGCCCGUAAACGCCCUGUCAUUUGCGAACAAACCUUACGAUCUAUAAGUCGUGAGUGAUGA
rnacentral:rRNA from 1 species